GUAAGGGUAUGUUUAACAAUUGUCAUCCAGCACUAAACGAAAACGGGCCACUGUUGGCCCAAUAGCCCAAAACUCUAGGGUUUAACCACCCUUUUCCUAUAUAUAGUAAAAUGUAGCAGCCAUUUCUCAAUAUCGCAGUUGCAAGAUCUGAGAUCUACGGAUCGAUUACUUGUCGACUUUGUUCUGGGGGCAUAAAUAUAAUUUCAAACCAAAAUCUUUUGGGAACUCGCAUUUUUCCAGAUUUACGUUUUUUGUUCUUCUGGAUCCCAUGUUUUGGUUACAUUUACAAUUAGUUUACCAUUCCUGUUUGUCUGAUAUAUAUUUAUACCUAUAAAUAAGAAAAUCGAAUUACAUUA